GUCUAUGGCCAUGCUACCCUGAACAAGCCCGAUCCCAUCUGAUCUUGGAAGCUGAGCAGGGUUGGGCCUGGCUAGUACUUGGAUGGGAGACCACCUAGGAAGACCAGGUGCUGUAGGUG
rnacentral:rRNA from 1 species